UACGAAGGGUGCAAGCGUUGUUCGGAAUCAUUGGGCGUAAAGCGCGCGCAGGCGGAUCAGCAAGUCAGAUGUGAAAUCUCGGAGCUCAACUUCGUAACUGCGUCUGAAACUGCUAGUCUAGAAUAUCGGAGGGGGCAGGGGAAUUUCACGUGUAGGGGUAAAAUCCGUAGAGAUGUGAAGGAACACCGGGGGCGAAGGCGCCUGCCUGGACGAUUAUUGACGCUGAGGCGCGAAAGCGUGGGGAGCAAACAGG
rnacentral:rRNA from 1 species